rnacentral:rRNA from 1 species
UACAGAGGUCUCAAGCGUUGUUCGGAUUCAUUGGGCGUAAAGGGUGCGUAGGCGGCGCGGUAAGUCGGGUGUGAAAUCUCGGAGCUUAACUCCGAAACUGCAUUCGAUACUGCCGUGCUUGAGGACUGGAGAGGAGACUGGAAUUUACGGUGUAGCGGUGAAAUGCGUAGAUAUCUGGAGGAACACCGGUGGCGAAGGCGACUCUUUGGCCUGUAACUGACACUGAGGCGCGAAAGCGUGGGGAGCAAACAGG